rnacentral:rRNA from 1 species
ACGGGAGGCAGCAGUGGGGAAUAUUGCGCAAUGGAGGAAACUCUGACGCAGUGACGCCGCGUAUAGGAAGAAGGUUUUCGGAUUGUAAACUAUUUUAGACAGGGAAGAAAAUGACAGUACCUGUAGAAUAAGCUCCGGCUAACUACGUGCCAGCAGCCGCGGUAAUACGUAGGGAGCAAGCGUUAUCCGGAUUUAUUGGGUGUAAAGGGUGCGUAGACGGGAAAUCAAGUUAGUUGUGAAAGCCCUCGGCUUAACUGAGGAACUGCAACUAAGACUAAUUUUCUUGAGUGCAGGAGAGGAAAGCGGAAUUCCUAGUGUAGCGGUGAAAUGCGUAGAUAUUAGGAGGAACACCAGUGGCGAAGGCGGCUUACUGGACUGUAACUGACGUUGAGGCACGAAAGUGUGGGGAGCAAACAGGAUUAGAUACCCUGGUA